UAUAUAUUCUUUUUAUUUUUAUUAAAGCAGCUGCAGGGAUAAUUUUGUAUGGAGAGUUAAUCUCUGAUUCAACCUGCGAAGCAGAAGGUGGCGCUAAUUUGCACACUACACUGAUUCCUUACCGCUCUUUGGAAAAAUACAGAAGAAGAAUAGUUUGAACAACGCAGCAAGGCGGGAAGCAGCAGACAGUAGGGUUGCAGAAACUACCUACGCAGCAGCAAUCAGGCUCACUGGACUUACUUUUCAGAUCAGUUUAUGCCUUUGCAUCUUGCUGUUCCAGUUUCAAGAAGUUAAGGAAGAUAACUGGAGAUGUGAUAACGAUACCAGAAGACUGAGAAGAAACUGCCCCUCAUUAGAAAGAUGAUGGAGACCACAUUUCCCCUACGCCGACAGCAGGCUUCAAAAUUAACAUUUUCGUCUAUCAGCCAAAUGGUUAAUGAAUUUUCAAAUAUUACCAGCCAUUCAAUAGAUUACCAUUGGGUUUUUGG